GAUGAACGCUGGCGGCGUGCUUAACACAUGCAAGUCGAACGGUGAAAGAGAGCUUGCUCUCUGGAUCAGUGGCGAACGGGUGAGUAACACGUGAGCAAUCUGCCCCUGACUCUGGGAUAAGCGUUGGAAACGACGUCUAAUACCGGAUACGAGCUGCGAAGGCAUCUUCAGCAGCUGGAAAGAACUUCGGUCAGGGAUGAGCUCGCGGCCUAUCAGCUAGUUGGUGAGGUAAAGGCUCACCAAGGCGUCGACGGGUAGCCGGCCUGAGAGGGUGACCGGCCACACUGGGACUGAGACACGGCCCAGACUCCUACGGGAGGCAGCAGUGGGGAAUAUUGCACAAUGGGCGCAAGCCUGAUGCAGCAACGCCGCGUGAGGGACGACGGCCUUCGGGUUGUAAACCUCUUUUAGCAGGGAAGAAGCGAAAGUGACGGUACCUGCAGAAGAAGCACCGGCUAACUACGUGC
rnacentral:rRNA from 1 species